rnacentral:rRNA from 1 species
GUCCCUAUCUGCCGUGGGCGUUGGAAGAUUGAAGGGGGCUGCUCCUAGUACGAGAGGACCGGAGUGGACGAACCUCUGGUGUUCGGGUUGUGUCGCCAGACGCAUUGCCCGGUAGCUAAGUUCGGAAUCGAUAACCGCUGAAAGCAUCUAAGCGGGAAGCGAGCCCUGAGAUGAGUCUUCCCUGAUACUUUAAGUAUCCUAAAGGGUUGUUCGAGACUAGAACGUUGAUAGGCAGGGUGUGUAAGCGCUGUGAGGCGUUGAGCUAACCUGUACUAAUUGCCCGUGAGGCUUAACCAUACAACACCCAAAGGGUUUUG